AGGUCUGAAUGCCCCCUGUGCCACAAGGACAUUACUAAUUUUAAGCAGCACCUUAGGUUGAUGCAUAAAAUCACAAAUGUUCAGGCGCCAGUUAUGGCAGAAGUUGGGAAGGGGCAGAGUCUUCCUUGGAGGACAGAUCUGCCCCUUGUGCAAUGUGUUUUUUAAACAGUUCGAAAAGCACUUAGAAACUGGCCAUCCAGACAUCUCUUCAGUCAAGAAGAGCAAAAUUGUUAAAAGAAUGGAGAGAGAGGUCCCCAUGGGGAAGUUGCGAGAGCUGGAGGCCAGCAACCCUGCCAUCCCCAUGGUGACCCUAAAGGAUGAGGCGCAAGGCAAUUCAGGAAACCCCAUCGCUCCUGAGACCCUAAACAUAAACACCCACCUUUCUUCCCCUGAUGUGCCUGCCUCCCCUUCCUUCAGCUCCUCUCUCACUCCUGAAUAUUCAAGCCCUCACAUCAGCCCUCCUAGCCACGCCAGCCACUCCUUCAUAUGAUAAUCGUCCCUUCCUGUCCUGCCUCUACAGCCUACGGGGGAGGCUUAUUCAGUCCCCUCCUAUUUAGUGAGGAGGAACACAGUAUGUUGGAGAACAUGGACAUUCCCACCAUCACUCUAGAGGAGGAGGAGGCCAUUAGUAAUCAAAUGUACAACAUGGAGAUUGAAGAAAUCAAGGAUCUGGGUUUCAGGAUGUUGAUGGACCUGUAGUUUUUUUUAAAUUGUAAAUAUGUUGUAUGAAUCUCUUAAUAUGUUUCUAU